rnacentral:rRNA from 1 species
GUGAGGAAUUUUCCGCAAUGGGCGAAAGCCUGACGGAGCAAUGCCGCGUGAAGGAUGAAGGCCUAUGGGUUGUAAACUUCUUUUCUCAGAAAAGAAUUAUGACGGUAUCUGAGGAAUAAGCAUCGGCUAACUCUGUGCCAGCAGCCGCGGUAAGACAAAGGAUGCAAGCGUUAUCCGGAAUGAUUGGGCGUAAAGCGUCUGUAGGUUGUUUAAAAAGUAUUCUGUCAAAGAUUAGGGCUUAACCCUAGAUAGGCAGAAUAAACUUUUAAGCUAGAGUUUGGUAGAGGCAGAGGGAAUUCCCGGUGGAGCGGUGAAAUGCGUAGAUAUCGGGAGGAACACCAAAGGCGAAGGCACUCUGCUGGGCCAAUACUAACACUGAGAGACGAAAGCGAGGGGAGCAAAUGGGAUUAGAAACCCGGGUAGUCC